AUUGAACGCUGGCGGCAGGCCUAACACAUGCAAGUCGAGCGGAGCGGCGGACGGGUGAGUAAUGCCUAGGAAUCUGCCUGGUAGUGGGGGAUAACGUCCGGAAACGGGCGCUAAUACCGCAUACUAUCAGAUGAGCCUAGGUCGGAUUAGCUAGUUGGUGGGGUAAAGGCCUACCAAGGCGACGAUCCGUAACUGGUCUGAGAGGAUGAUCAGUCAAACUGGAACUUAGGACAGGUUCCGAAUCCCACGGGAGGCAGCCGUGGGGAAAAUUUGAACAAGGGCGAAAGGCUGAUCCAGCCCUGCCGGGGGGGGGAAGAAAGUCUUCGGAUUUGAAAGCACUUUAAGUUGGGAGGCGUUACCAACAGAAUAAGCACCGGCUAACUUCGUGCCAGCCGCCGCGGUAAUAC
rnacentral:rRNA from 1 species